UACGAAGGGGGCUAGCGUUGUUCGGAUUUACUGGGCGUAAAGCGCGUGUAGGCGGGUCGUUAAGUUGGGGGUGAAAUCCCGGAGCUCGACUCCGGAACUGCCUUCAAAACUGGCGACCUGGACUCAAGCAGAGGCAAGUGGAAUUGCGAGUGUAGAGGUGAAAUUCGUAGAGAUUCGCAGGAACACCAGUGGCGAAGGCGACUUGCUGGGCUUGUAGUGACGCUGAGACGCGAAAGAGUGGGGAGCAAACAGG
rnacentral:rRNA from 1 species